rfam:Schistosoma mansoni strain Puerto Rico chromosome 2, complete genome
AUCCAACUGACGAGUCCCAAAUAGGACGAAAAGCGCGUCCUGGAU